rnacentral:lncRNA from 1 species
UUUGGAAUCAUGUAAAUCGGUAACGUAUCCUUUGGAUCGACUGUUUUGUACUUUCCUUUCCCUAGUUCCGAUAGAGUUGGCUUAAGGGAUGGACUUGGCUUAGAAGACGAUGAAGAGCGUUUCGGAGACGGUGUGGUUGAUUUAGGUGGUGUCAGUCCUUUAGGUGAUGGAGAUGGUUUUUCGGCCGUGAAUGACAUUUUAAAUGAUGGAAGCGGACUAGGAGGAUAUAGAAUCGGCUUAAUCGGUAAUGUAUCCUCUGGAUUGAGUGUUUUGUACUUUCCUUUCCCUAGUUCUGAUAGAGUUGGCUUAAGGGAUGGACUUGGCUUAAAAGACGAUGAAGAGGGUUUCAGAGACGGUGUGGUUGGUUUAGGUGGUGUCAAUCCUUUAGGUGAUGGAGAUGGUUUCUGGGCCGUAAAUGAUGUUUCAAAUGAUGGCAGCAGACUAGGAGGAUAUAGAACUGGCUUAACCGAGGACUGAGAUGAUUUGGUUGAAGUUGUAGAUGAAUGAAUCUUAUAUAGCCACUCAUUUCCUGGUGAUGAAUUCAGGGAUGAACUUGGGUAACUCCAAGUUUGGGAACUACGAUACGAUUCAUCUAUGGAGGAACUACGAUGAUAAGUGUUAUAAGUCGAAGUUCGACUAAAAGGAUCUCUCAAAGAAGUUCGGUUAUCAAUAAUCCCAAUAUCCUCGUCUUCACAACACAGAAUACACUUCAAAAUCUCAAGAAAACAAGACAUUUUCUCCUGCAAUCAAAAGGCAUAAUACACUUUAAACAAUGUUCCAGAUGUUUGAAGAAAUGUCUCAAAGAACAUGCUUCUCUACUCUACACAUCAAAGAGUAUAAUUUCUUUUUAGUUAAAUUCUGCUAUUAAUUCCUAUACUUUAUGAAAAUUGUAGAUUUAAUCUUUAUAUUUUAAUUUUAUUUUAUUUAAUCCUUAUACUUUUUCGAAUUAUACAAUUUCAGUCAUCAUCAAUUAGAGCUGAUCAUGGGCCGAGCCAGGCCUCAACCGAAUUUUGGACCCAUUUUCUAGGCCCAAGCUCAACUCAGAUUAUAGAUGCUAAACCCGAGCCCAUAUCUUUAAAUUAAAUUUAAAUAAAAAUGGUAUUAAUUAAAUAAUAAUUUAAAUAGAAUGAAAUUAUAUUUAAGGAUCCCAGAUGAUAGUCCAGUCCAAACCUAAUCCAUCCACAAAUUUAAUAAAAAUUGUGAGGUUCAUGAUUAUUAUCAAAUAAAUAUAAAAGCAAUUAUUCUAAAAGCAAAUAGGAGAGGCGUCAACUAUCAAGGAGUCAAAUUUUGGAAAAUUCAAAAUAAACAGAAUGGGAUGCAUAUUAUAUUGACAUUGAUCAAACUGGUACUAGUCGUAUACAACAUAUUAUAUUGACAGUCAGUUUGCUCAACAAGGAGUUUCACUGAUUAAAGGAUCAUUAAGAAGCUUUUGGUCUGCUUGCAUGAAAAUUGUGUCAAAAAUUUCACUUCGAGAAAUAUAUUAGAAUGAUUCAUUUAGAGAAUACCGACUAAAUAUACAACUACAUGCAUAGUACAAUACUAACCAUGGAAAUUUAACUACUAAAAAAUAUAGAGAUUAAAAUUGAUCAAUUCGAAAAGUGUAAGAUUAAAUUCACAAUUUUUACAAAGUAUAGGGACUAAUAACAGAAUCUAACUAUUAAAAAAAAACCUAUAGUAAUCGAAAAAAGUGGAAUAAAAAAGAAGAGAAAAGAGUGAGAAUGUCGGAAUUUUUACCUAGAAUCUGGUUUUUGCCACUUUCUUGAUCGAAUCGACUAAGUGGUUCCCUAUGUUUCCAUAAACCCGGAUUCCAUGAUCGCUUUAGUUUAUGGUCUCUCAAAACAGAGAACUUAAAAUCUAAAGCAAAAAUAGCGCAUCGAAAAUGGAAAUGAAACCAAAGGAAAAGAAUUGACGAAAAGGCUUGCUUUUUGCUUUGCUUAAGCAAAGCAAGAGGAUUUGGUAUUGAGACUUUGUGGGAAAAGACAUUUUUGGCUAUUUUACCCAUUUGACCACAAAAAAAUAAUAUUUAUAAAAAUAACCCUAAUUUUAAAACGUUCAUCCAAAUAACUUGAAAUGAACAGCAAAAUUAAUUUAUGAGAACUAGAUGACCGGCACCAUUAUUUUUUCUAUUAAAAAAUAAUUUUUAGAGUUUUGGACACUAGAAAUAGUAGUGCCAGUCAUCUAGUUCACAUAACUCAAUUUUACUGUUCAUUUCAAAUUAUUUAGGUAAAUAUUUUUGAACUAAAGUCAUUUUUGUAAAUAUUAAUUUUCUUUAGAUUAGAUGAGUAAAAUAGCCGACAUUUCUUCUAUCACUGUAUUUUGUUUUAACUAUUCGGGUUCUACAUUUGUGUCUAAUAUUUUAUUAUAGUAUGAUGGAAUGACAAAUAACCCUCUUGAAGGAGAGUCAAUAUUAUUUUUAGAAUCAGACUGGAUUGAUUAAACGGAUUGGUUAAAUCAAAAGUUGACAUAUUAAUUUAAAACAAAAGAUUAGAUUGAUUGACUCAUAAAUCGAGUUUGAACAUAUUCUUUUUCUUUAUUUUUAAUAGUUUUUCAAUCAAAUUAAUUAGACUAAUUAGUUCAGCCACUAAUUUAAUUCUAAGAACCUUAAGAGUAAAUGUGAAGACGAGAAUCCGGCUAAGCUGAUACAUCUGCGCAAGAUGUGUCGAAGAAGCCCUUGAAGGAGAGUUAAUGUGGAAGAGAACAUUAAAGACAAUGUCUUAUGUUCCCUAACGACUUCAGCAAACACAGCACGUGCCUGUCGUAGAAGCCGAGCUCUAUCCGUGCAUUGUAAGUCGGAAAAGCCUUUGAGGGAGAAUAAUGAACAUAAGUAUCUUACUUGAAUUUAGGUUCGAAUAUUAAAUGGAUAUUGACAAUUUUUCUGAGUUUUAUUAUUUUUUCUUUUUUUUAAGUUUGAAGCAUUUUUAGAAGAUCAUUUAAUCAUGUGAUGGUACGAGUUAAAUAUGAAUACCAAAUAUGAGUUAAAAAAUAUUGUACAAUUAAGAGCGUUUGAGCCAACCGAAUUAAUACUCACAAGCCCACCUGCAAUUAAUUACUCUGGUUUUUAAUUCCAUCAAAAUUAAUUUUGUAUUGAUUUGUAGGUAACCUACAACAUACACAUUUGAGAUUUUCAAAAAUGGGUCAAUGGUCGAACUAGUCAAACCAACAGUUCCCAAUUCGACUGAAUAAAUUAUUUAAAUAGAACAUAUUAAAAAAAUAGAUAAAAACAGUUCAACUAGUCUGUCCAUCGGUUAACCGGUUCAAGGGGUCAAUUAAUCUAACCCCUUAUUCCAAACUGGUACCCUAUCCAAUUCCCGGUACAACCUAUAUGACCGGCCGUUCCAGUCCAACUCUGAAAACAGUUACGUGUAUGUGUGUGUCAAAUUGCAAAUAGAAAACAGGGGACAAGCAAGUGAAAUCCGGAUAAUAACAUAGGUCAAGAAGGAUCCAUGAACCGGUUGGUUUGGUUGAACCCAAUUCAUUAUUAUGUGUAUAAAGAGAGGGAGUAAUUGUAAGCAAAUCUCAUAUUGCAUUUGAUGUAACAAAAUGCUACAACUCUAAACUGAAAAACAUGAAGUAUAUCAACUGAUAAAAUUGCUCACCUCCAAAUUCAACAUUGUUUUAAACUCAUUUCUUACCGAGAAACAUCUUCGAUUGCUUUUUUACGAGGAAAUAUAAAAUCGAAUCUCAUCCUACGGUCAAUCCAAAUCCAAAUUUGUAGUCUUUCUUUUUAUGAUCUAUCUGCAAAAUAUGAAUCCAACAAAAGAAAUAUGUUAUGAAACACAAUUUCCAUAGCUUUUGGGUAUCACCAUGUGGAAAAAUAAAACCCAAUUGGUCGGUCGACUAAUUCAACCAAGAUUUGGUGACCUGUCCAGUCUGUCACACACCAAAGGAUCAAUGAUUUGAUGAAUAGGUAGAAAACCAGUUCAACUAGUAAAAAACUGGUUACCGGUUUGUCCUAUAUUUAAAGCUAUAAAAUUAAGCCGAAUAUAUAUCAACUAAUUACUUAUUUAGUACUUAAUAAUAUCAAAAUCGCAUUUAAUAUUUAAUUGACUAAUCAGAUUCAACCAGUUGAACUUGUAAUCUGAAGAGCAAACCAAUGUCACCCUGUCUGGAUUUUAUGAUUAAGUUUUAGAAACAACUAAACAAACUUUUAUAAGAGAUUAUUUUGGUUUGUUUAUAGUCGCCUCUUCCAUGUGUCUUUGAUUAUAAGUAUCCUUUCUUGCUUUUGCAUAGGUGUUUGAUGCGAUAAUCUGUGAUCCCCCGUACGGUGUUCGGGCCGGUGGACGUAAGUCUGGUGGUCGAAAAUUGCUCAAGGGGAUUGUUGGCCCUUACACUGUCCCUGAUGACAAAAGGGCUGACCAUAUACCAUCAACUGCAGCUUAUACCCUAGUUGAGUGUGUCCACGACUUGCUUGACCUUGCUGCUAGGAUGCUCGUAAUGGGUGGCAGGCUCGUAUUCUUCUAUCCUGUGUUGAGAGAAGAUGGUUCUGUAGAAACCCAUUUCCCGGAACAUCUGUGUUUUAAGUUAGUUGCCACUUCCGAACAGAUGCUCAGCUCACGAUACAGUCGUGUUUUACUCACUAUGGUAAAGACAUCUUUAUACACGGAGGAACUCGCUUUGGCAGCUAGGAUAAAACAUUUGGAAUUCAGGGAGAAUCAUCUCAAAUGGUUAGAAAAUGGUAAUCUUCACUCUUUGGUUUUCAGUCCAGCAGAUGCCGAAUCUGGUGAUUCAAAAGUAAGUAAAGAAUCAAAACCGAAAUAUAGAGGGAAAUAUGUCUAGUCUUGCUAAUGUUUUGAGUUGAUUAAUAGGUUUAUGAACUCUUUUAGAUAUUAUGGUUACUAAUCUGUCAUUCGUAUUUUAUUCCGAAUGAUUGAUGAAAUUUUCAUCGAUGAAGGUCUUUAGACUGCAACUUUAUAUGUUGUGAGAGAGUAGGAUAAGUAUUUAAAAAUGAAACAUCACACAAUUUCACGACACCUUUGUUAAUUUUUUAGCCUAUUGUAGUCUUGGAUUUUUCUUUUUUGGCUAACCUGUUCAUUUGUUGUAAAUGAACUGAGUUUGAAAGAACAAAUUUAUGUUUAUGUUCGUUUGUUUAUUUUUAAGUUUGUAUGUGUUUGGUUCAUGUCUGUUAAUAGUUUCAAAUCGAUAUUCAUGUUCAUUUGUUUAAGUUAAACGAAUAUAUUCGUUAGCUUAUAGCUGAAUACGUUCACGAAUAAUGUUUAUGAAUUAAAAAAUCAUAAAUAAACAUCCAUUAAUUUUUAGAUAUAAAAUAAUCAAUAUAAAUAUUAAUAAUCAUAUUAUAAAUAAAUAAUAUAAACACUCAAAAAAUAAAACAAAUUUGUUAAUAUACAAUAAAAGAGUUUUAACUGAGCUUUAAAGGAACAUAAAUGAGCUUGUUAAUGAGAAUAACUAAACAAGCUUUGUUCAUGACUUGUUAAUUGAACGCUUUGUUCAUUUACAGCCCUAAAGUGAUCGGUCCUUAAGCUGUGCAAUGAACAUUGGGUCAUCAUUCUUGAAUGGACUAAGCUUGCAAAGCCUUUCGAAGUAUGAUAUUCUCAAUCCCUUCUCCCUAGCAAUAUCUGAACGGACAGUGCUUGAACAAUUUCCGGGUGCACCGGUAAUUAUCACGGUUGUACUGUCAUCAGCAAAGUUAGCCAAAGCCACCAGUGUCUCUGGUUCGGUACUUGAAGAAGCAUCCACCAAAAAGAUAUGGCUAAAAUGUCCGGUAGAUAUGCCGGCAUUGUACAGCCGAUAACUACUUGUAAAAGUUGAAAAUAUGACUCGGAAUUCCCUUAGUUCAUGGAGCGAAGGACAACUGAAACAUUCGGUAUCCCUUUUGUAAAGGCAAGACGGAAGAAUAUCGAUAGGAACCCCCUCUAUCUCCCUGAAUGCAGCAUUGGCUCUGAAGAUAUCAGAUGCUGGAAUGUCUAUUUUCAAGCUUCUCGUUAGCACAUCACAUGUGCUAUUUAUAGGUGCGCAGACAAGGAUUUUAGAUUGCGGGUGACGUCGAUAAAUUUGCAGCACUGCUUCUUUAACAACUAGUCCAGUUCUUGAAAGUUGCUUUGAAAUGGAUUCGGAAUUACCGUUGAAAGUUGCACAGAGAGGACCCUUUACUAGAAAUGGUGGAGGGGCUCGGAUGUUCAAAAUACGAUGAACUGCAGACUUUUCAUCUAGAUUGAGAUUAUGGUCAUAAAGGUUAUAAUAUUCCGAGUUAUGCAUGGGAUGUUGGGAGAAAGAAUUAGGGAAAAGAAACUUUCCUAUUAAUGAAGCGGACACUGCUGCGAUCGCUUGGUGAGCCCUUUUCAAACAUACUCUGUUGAACGAGAAACUAAUAUUAUAUCUGCAGGUUGAAUGAUGCUGAGAAUGAAACUCCUCUCCGAAUUCGACUAGUAUGGUCGUGCUCUUCACAACCCGAUACAAAACACCCUGCAACAACAACACAAGAAUGUAACAAAGGAGAAAGAAAAGAUUAAGACCUUUCACACUUCGAACUUCGACUACAUGAUGGAAUCAAUGAAAACCAUAUCAUCACACACUUGAGGUACGAGAAUUUUGAACUUUGCACAUCACCAUCAAAAAAUUUUGCAGACUUACAUCAAAUCACGAGGAUUUCCCAGAACUUUGCAUGAGACAUUUGGUUGAAUGACAUGAUAUUCUUGUUGUUCAGCAGGGUAGAGUUAAUAGUUCCAUGAAAUCAUCCAUAUAAAUAUAGUAUUAUUAAUCUAGACCAUGCAACAAAUGCAAAAUGCUAAGAUGCCCUAAAUUAGUCAUUGUAUUAUAGGGAGCAGAUCAAAUUAAUCCUUCUAGUGUUAAAUGGAUCAAUUUAGUCCUUAUACUAUUAAAAAGAAUCAAAUAGGUCCAAAUUGUAUCAGAAUUAACAUUUACGGUUUAAAAAAUGUCUGGAGAUUUUUUUUUUUCAAUUGCAGUUUAAUUUCAAAUAAAAGAUUUCAUUUACAAAACUUUUAAAAUAUUAACUCUGUUAAAUGGUAAAUGUUAACUCUAUUUGAUUUCUGGUUUCAUUUGAUUCUUUUUAAUAGUAAAGGGACUAAAUUGAUCCAUUUAAUAAUAAAGGGACUAAUUUGAUAAAGUUCCUAUAAUAGAGAGAUCUCUGAAAUACAUUCACCCCCCAAAUAUUCACUUGAUAGACAAGCUAGCCAGGGUGCUGCAAAAUUAACUCUUAAAUGCACUGUUUGUUGAACCCUAUGUUACUCCAACAUUUUUCUUGAAGUACCAAUGUUCGAUACCAAUAUGGAAAGCAUAUCCGGACCUAUAGUAUCCUCCAAAGAUUCUCCAAACACAUGGAAUCUUGGAAUAAAGUUGAGCUCAUAUGCACCAUGCUAUAAUAAGGUAUCAUGUUAGAUAUUAUGGUACAUGCAUGAUCAUGCAAAGAGUAAGAGUCGAAACCUGAAAUGGUUCGGUUUCUUCGCCUACACGUUUUGCAAAGACGAAGUCCCUUGACAGAAGAAAUGGCCGUGUCAUAGAAAGAGAAUCCACCUUAAAUACUGCAAAAGUUUUAUCAUCCAUCUUUUUACUUGCUUUCGAAUGCUUGUUUUUUCCUGACUUUUGAUAGAUUGUUGCUGAAUGCAACUCCAUGGAUACAUUCUCCAACUCAAAACUGCUCCAUUUCUGUUUCAGAGGGGGAAAAAAAGCAUUCAUUAGUUUCUAGUUAUGCUGUUCCCAGUUUCCAUUUUUUUUCGAGUUUACUUGUCCAUCACGUCAGUAACAAUGUUCUUAGAUUAGAUGACAGUCACUGCCAAAAGCAUUCUCCCUUUUUGUUUUUCUUGCACUAUCCGUUCCAACACCCGGGUCUACCCAUAUUUGAAAAUUGGGGUAUAGAGAUGAAUUUCUGAUAAAAGUAUCAGGGAGGCCAUUGUAUUAGUAGUCUGGUUAAAUCAAAGAGCAAAUUGGUUCUAUAAAAAAUUUAAUCCAUUUUUACUCAUAAAAACUGAUCAUUGUACGUCGACAUGAGGCACUUAUGGCACGCUAUGUGUAACUGUUUGAUUCUUCCAUCAAAUUUUAACUGAAAAAACUAAUUUGCUCUUUGAUUCAACAUACACAAAAUAAUUUGCUCAUUUUUUUAGUAAAAAAGGUAAAAUAUGAUUUAAAUCAAAUCCGAUCAAGCCCAUUGUAAGUUUUUAUCACUUUGUACUUCAUACAUCAUUGCUUAAUUAAAGGCAAACCUAUCUCAUUACCUCAAUAUAGGAAUCCUCAGCAUAUAGAAGGGCUGCAAAGAAAUCCUGAUAUGUAGAGGCAGACAAUGGUUUUUUCAAAACUUCAGGCACAAUGUCUCUCUUGAUUAAAUCCUCGAUAUCCUUUGGAAUCAUGUAAAUCGGUAACGUAUCCUUUGGAUCGACUGUUUUGUACUUUCCUUUCCCUAGUUCCGAUAGAGUUGGCUUAAGGGAUGGACUUGGCUUAGAAGACGAUGAAGAGCGUUUCGGAGACGGUGUGGUUGAUUUAGGUGGUGUCAGUCCUUUAGGUGAUGGAGAUGGUUUUUCGGCCGUGAAUGACAUUUUAAAUGAUGGAAGCGGACUAGGAGGAUAUAGAAUCGGCUUAAUCGGUAAUGUAUCCUCUGGAUUGAGUGUUUUGUACUUUCCUUUCCCUAGUUCUGAUAGAGUUGGCUUAAGGGAUGGACUUGGCUUAAAAGACG